ACUUUCCAGCCCAGGCCAGCAUCAGUUCGCUGUGGGGGAUAAAGGCUUUGGGAAUGUGGCUCCUCCGGGAGUGUUAUAGCCCAUUGUGUAAUACCCUGUGGUGGACUGAGGUUCGCGCAUCUGCAAGGAUGCUGGCGUAAUGGUCAUCAGCGA
rnacentral:rRNA from 1 species